rnacentral:misc_RNA from 1 species
GUUUUUACUAUUUUAUUUUUCAUUACUUUAUCUUAUUUUAUAAAACCUUCUCUUACUCUAAUUAUAUUUUUAAAAAAACAAAGCGUCAACUAAAACAAAAUAUUUGAAACUAACAUGCCUGAUUGAUAAUUUUGCAAAUCACAUCAGGAGAGAGUCGCCAGUUCGUUUCUUUCUCUUAUAGCCGCUACUAGAAGAUAUCUUCAACAUUGUAUGAUAGAAGGUUCAUAGCUCAAAGAGUGCCGAUCAUUGCCUCCUCUUCUUAUACUGCU